UACAGAGGGGGCAAGCGUUAUUCGGAAUUAUUGGGCGUAAAGGGCGCGUAGGCGGCCGUGCAAGUGGAAGGUGAAAUCCCUCGGCUCAACCGAGGAACUGCCUUUCAAACUGCUUGGCUUUGAGUCCGGGAGAGGUGAGUGGAAUUCCCAGUGUAGCGGUGAAAUGCGUAGAUAUUGGGGAGGAACACCAGUGGCGAAGGCGGCUCACUGGACCGGAACUGACGCUGAGGCGCGAAAAGCGUGGGGGAGCAAACGGGG
rnacentral:rRNA from 1 species